CAGGCCUAACACAUGCAAGUCGAGCGAGAAAGGGGAAACCCCGGUAAAGCGGCGCACGGGUGAGUAACACGUAGGUAAUUUACCCCCAGGUGGUGGAUAACCUUCCGAAAGGAGGGCUAAUACAGCAUAAGACCACGUCUUCGCAAGGAGAUGAGGUCAAAGCCGGCCUCUUCACGAAAGCUGGCGCCAGGGGAUGAGCCUGCGGCCCAUCACGGUAGUUGGUAGGGUAAUGGCCUACCAAGCCUAAGACGGGUAGCUGGUCUGAGAGGAUGAUCAGCCACACUGGAACUGAGACACGGUCCAGACUCCUACGGGAGGCAGCAGUGGGGAAUCUUGCGCAAUGGGCGAAAGCCUGACGCAGCGACGCCGCGUGAGUGAUGAAGGCCUUCGGGUUGUAAAGCUCUGUGGGGAGGGACGAAUAAGUGCUGGCUAAUAUCCAGCGCGAUGACGGUACCUGUUUAGCAAGCACCGGCUAACUCUGUGCCAGCAGCCGCGGUAAU
rnacentral:rRNA from 1 species